rnacentral:rRNA from 1 species
AGUGAACGCUGGCGGUAGGCCUAACACAUGCAAGUCGAACGGCAGCACAGUAAGAGCUUGCUCUUACGGGUGGCGAGUGGCGGACGGGUGAGGAAUACAUCGGAAUCUACUUUUUCGUGGGGGAUAACGUAGGGAAACUUACGCUAAUACCGCAUACGACCUACGGGUGAAAGCAGGGGAUCUUCGGACCUUGCGCGAUUGAAUGAGCCGAUGUCGGAUUAGCUAGUUGGCGGGGUAAAGGCCCACCAAGGCGACGAUCCGUAGCUGGUCUGAGAGGAUGAUCAGCCACACUGGAACUGAGACACGGUCCAGACUCCUACGGGAGGCAGCAGUGGGGAAUAUUGGACAAUGGGCGCAAGCCUGAUCCAGCUAUACCGCGUGGGUGAAGAAGGCCUUCGGGUUGUAAAGCCCUUUUGUUGGGAAAGAAAAGCAGUAGGUUAAUACCCCGCUGUUCUGACGGUACCCAAAGAAUAAGCACCGGCUAACUUCGUG